ACGCCUAGCGCAAAAUAGAAAUCUCCGCAAACAAACACGCAAAAAGCACCUUCCUAUUGUUUCUUCUUUGUCUUUCCCAUUCUCUUUGGUAUAUGCUACCAGUAUCUCCUCUUAUCCCUCCCCCACCCCUGUAACUACCCCCCACCCCCCACCCCAUUUCACUCGCACUCUCCACACACACACGCUCUAUGGCUCGAGUAACCACCUCUUCCCUCCACCAUAACGGCAUCUAUUUCACAUUUUCGGCGCGUGACUCCCACUCUCUCUUCUUCAACUCUCACAAAUCCCUCCGUCCAUCUAACAAACUUCCGUUCACUUACCUCUCAUCAGUACCGCCUUCACCGUCGUCACCGUCCAACCGCCGUCGAACGCUUGUCUCCACCGUACCGGUAGAGUACGUACCUCCGCCACCGGAUUUCGACUUCGGUGAAGAGCUCACGCGCCUCCGUAUCCUCCGCUCCAAGCUAUCCGGUUCCAAAAGUUUAAGAGAUAAAAUCCACGUGGUUGAUUCUGAUUCGAAGGUGAAGCGGUUUUUUAAAAGCGGUGGUUAUAAGAACGGAUUCGCUAGGGUUUUGGAGGCGGUUGAUUUGGAUGAGUAUGAGUUGUUUUUGGUUAAGUGCAUUGUUGCUGCUGGUCAGGAGCAUGUGUUAGUGUCGGAUUGUGAUACGGAUGGUGUUGAUGGUGAGAUUAAUGGUGAAUUUGUGUCUGCUAGAAGUUCGUUGAAGAGUGCGUUGUAUAGUUUGGUUGAAAUGAUUGAAAAGUGGGACGGGAGUGAGGAUCGGGACGUUCGGGUGAAGAAGGUUGAUGCGGUUGCGUUGAAUUCGUUGUUGAAGACUUUGAAAGAUGUUGAGGAGUUUUAUGAUUGUAUUGGAGGGAUAAUUGGAUACCAGUUAACGGUGUUAGAGCUUCUUUCUCAGUCUCCACACGGAGAGCAGAAUGCGAAUUUUCGAAACGUAGAUAAUUCUAACUCAACAGGAAUGCAAUUCGUAGAAAUUCAUCCUCCAAGUGUACUUGAUCUUUCUCAAGACACCGAAUACGCGGCUCAUGCUGCUCUAUGGGGAAUUGAGGGUUUGCCGAGCCUAGGAGAGAUUUAUCCUCUUGGAGGCUCUGCUGACAGGCUCGGAUUAGUUGACUCCGUCACAGGUGAAUGUCUCCCUGCUGCAAUGCUUCCUUUUUGUGGCCACACCUUGUUGGAAGGUCUAAUAAGAGAUCUUCAGGCAAGGGAGUUCUUAUACUUCAAAUUAUUCGGAGAACAAUGCAUAACUCCCGUUGCGAUGAUGACAAGUUCGGCGAAAAACAACCAUGAACAUAUCACAUCGCUGUGCGAAAGAUCCAAAUGGUUCGGAAGAGGUCGAUCAAAUUUCCGUCUUUUUGAACAGCCACUCGUCCCCGCUAUUAGCGCUGAAGAUGGCCAGUGGUUAGCAAAGGGACAGUUCUUGCCUGUCUGCAAGCCCGGUGGUCAUGGUGUGAUAUGGAAACUUGCUUAUGAAAAAGGCGUUUUUCAGUGGUUUCGCGAUCAUAGAAGAGAAGGUGCAACUGUUCGACAAGUCAGUAAUGUUGUAGCGGCUACAGAUGUGACCCUCUUAGCCAUGGCGGGGAUUGGUCUGCAUGAAGGGAAGAAGCUCGGUUUCGCAUCAUGCAAACGAAACUCUGGUGCUACAGAAGGCAUAAACGUUCUAGUUGAAAAAGGCAAGUCUGACGGAACAUGGACAUACGGUGUGUCGUGCAUUGAGUAUACCGAGUUUGACAAAUUUGGAAUUGCUGAUGGAUCUUCUUCUGAUAGUUUGCAGACAGAGUUCCCAGCAAAUACAAAUAUCCUUUAUGUGGACUUGAAGGCUGCAGAGCAUAUUGCAUCAAGUAAAGACGAGAGUAGCUUACCUGGAUUGGUGCUAAAUGUGAAAAAAACGAUCAACUUUGUGGACCAUUUUGGGUUCCAACACGGUAUUCCAGGUGGGCGUUUGGAAUGUACAAUGCAAAAUAUCGCUGAUCAUCUUGUCAAUAGUUUUUCCACUCGAUGUUCUGAAGGUGUAGAAGAAUUGCUAGAUACCUUCAUUGUCUAUAAUCAUCGAAGGAAAGUUACCUCAUCUGCCAAGAAGAAACGAAAACCAGCUGACAUGUCAUUGCAUCAGACUCCAGAUGGCGCACUACUUGACACAGUAAGAAAUGCGUAUGAUAUUCUUUCACAUUGUGAUAUCAAGCUCCCUGAGAUAGAGAGUAACGAUAAAUACGUUGAUUCUGGACCACCGUAUAUCAUCCUUCUUCAUCCCGCUCUUGGUCCUCUUUGGGAAGUCACCAGACAGAAAUUUCAUGGAGGUUCAAUUUCAAAAGGCUCCGAAUUGCAACUCGACGUUUCCGAAUUCCUGUGGAGAAACGUUCAGCUUGAUGGGAGCUUAAUGGUCGUGGCUGAAAAUGUGAUGGGCUCUCAUAUCGACAGAAACAAUGAGUCCAUACUACAAUAUGGUUACAGGUGUGCACGGUGCAAGUUAGUGAACGUAAACAUACAGAAUAAAGGAAUAAACUGGAGUUCAGAUAAAAAUCUCUAUUGGAAGCAUGAUGUUCAGCGGUAUGAGGCACUAAAAGUCAUAUUGCAUGGAAACGCUGAAUUUGAGGCUGUUGAUGUUAACCUCGAGGGAAAUCAUGUGUUUGAAGUCCCAGAUGGCUACAAGAUGACGGUCACAUCCGGAAGUUCAGGUUUAUCUAUACAAUCAAAUCCUAUUAAAAAGGAGUUUAUAGAUACUGGAAGCUGGUUCUGGAAGUACAUUAUAAAUGACAAACAUAUCAAACUGGAAUUGGUGGAAUUCUAGAGGACUAACAAAAUCGUUCGCCUUUUGAGAAUCAUCGUUCACAGAAGAAUCCGACCCCUUUCACCCGUAUGGUUAAACCCCAUUAACCUCAUUAUCCUUGUAAUAAUAAUAGUAUAUGCGUUACGAGUUUAGUAUGAUGACCAGUAGGGCCUCGGUUAUAUUUCCUGUAAUUUAUUGUAAAUUCUGUGUAAAAACUUUUGCAUUCAAUGAACAGGUUUGGAAGAUUGUGAGCAGCAUCGGUUGAGCAAUCUAAGCAGAGCGUCGGCCUUUCUUUGAGCUUUCAUGGAGCCAUCCGCCGCCAAGCUUUGAAGAGACGGUAUGCCUCGUGGAUUCAUUAACAAUCUUCUCGCAACUUCAUCGCCACCGUCUUUACAUAGCCCCAAUAACAAAGUUAACGCGUUCUCUUUUCCUUUCGGCGAUCCAAAUCUUAAAAGAUCAAUGAGAAUCGGUACCAAACUUUUACUC